rnacentral:rRNA from 1 species
CCUACGGGUGGCUGCAGUGGGGAAUAUUGCGCAAUGGCCGAAAGGCUGACGCAGCGACGCCGCGUGUGGGAGGAAGCCCUUCGGGGUGUAAACCACUGUCAGGGGGGAAGAACCCCGACCGGACAAAUAGCCCGGUCGGCUGACGGUACCCCCAGAGGAAGCGCCGGCUAACUCCGUGCCAGCAGCCGCGGUAAGACGGAGGGCGCAAGCGUUGUUCGGAAUUACUGGGCGUAAAGCGCGGGCAGGUGGUUUUUUAAGUCCUUUGUGAAAUCCCGGGGCUCAACUCCGGAUGUGCAUAGGAUACUGGAAGACUAGAGACCGGUAGAGGCGAGUGGAAUUCCUGGUGUAGCGGUGGAAUGCGUAGAUAUCAGGAAGAACACCUGUGGCGAAGGCGGCUCGCUGGGCCGGUUCUGACACUCAUCCGCGAAAGCGUGGGGAGC